AUACGUAGGGGGCGAGCGUUGUCCGGAAUGAUUGGGCGUAAAGGGCGCGUAGGCGGCCCGGUAAGUCUGGAGUGAAAGUCCUGUUUUUAAGAUGGGAAUUGCUUUGGAUACUGUCGGGCUUGAGUGCAGGAGAGGUAAGUGGAAUUCCCAGUGUAGCGGUGAAAUGCGUAGAGAUUUGGAGGAACACCAGUGGCGAAGGCGGCUUACUGGACUGUAACUGACGCUGAGGCGCGAAAGUGUGGGGAGCAAACAGGAUUAGAUACCCUGGUAGUCCACGCUGUAAACGAUGAGUGCUAGGUGUAGGGGGUAUCGACCCCUUCUGUGCUGCAGUUAACACAAUAAGCAUUCCGCCUGGGGAGUACGGCCGCAAGGUUGAAACUCAAAGGAAUUGACGGGG
rnacentral:rRNA from 1 species